UACGAAGGGGGGCUAGCGUUGCUCGGAAUCACUGGGCGUAAAGGGUGCGUAGGCGGGUCUUUAAGUCAGGGGUGAAAUCCUGGAGCUCAACUCCAGAACUGCCUUUGAUACUGAGGAUCUUGAGUUCGGGGAGAGGUGAGUGGAACUGUGAGUGUAGAGGUGAAAUUCGUAGAUAUUCGCAAGAACACCAGUGGCGAAGGCGGCUCACUGGCCCGAUACUGACGCUGAGGCACGAAAGCGUGGGGAGCAAACAGG
rnacentral:rRNA from 1 species